UUAGUGAGGUACAACCUUUUGUUUGACUACAGAGCCAAAGGUAGUGACUCAGAAUUUAUUAUUGAAACUAAAUUCAUACAUCUGUAUUAUUAGUUGGUCAUUGCAUUGUUCUCGCUAACUAAUUGUUAAUCAUUAAAGGGUGCAAACCCCUUUCAAUAUUUUUCUUCAAUGGUGUCCAAAUCCUUUUUUUUAAAUUUUUUUAUGUAAAAUAAAAAUAAAGUAUAUGAAAUAUGGAAAA